rnacentral:tRNA from 1 species
UUUGGACUUCCUUUGUGGCGGUAAAAAAUCUGCCUGCAAUGCAGGAGAUCUAGGUUCAAUCCCUGGGUCCGGAA